rnacentral:rRNA from 1 species
UUAAGCGACUAAGCGUACACGGUGGAUGCCCUGGCAGUCAGAGGCGAUGAAGGACGUGCUAAUCUGCGAUAAGCGUCGGUGAGGUGAUAUGAACCGUUAUAACCGGCGAUUUCCGAAUGGGGAAACCCAGUGUGUUUCGACACACUAUCAUUAACUGAAUCCAUAGGUUAAUGAGGCGAACCGGGGGAACUGAAACAUCUAAGUACCCCGAGGAAAAGAAAUCAACCGAGAUUCCCCCAGUAGCGGCGAGCGAACGGGGAGGAGCCCAGAGCCUGAAUCAGUGUGUGUGUUAGUGGAAGCGUCUGGAAAGGCGCGCGAUACAGGGUGACAGCCCCGUACACAAAAAUGCACAUGCUGUGAGCUCGAUGAGUAGGGCGGGACACGUGGUAUCCUGUCUGAAUAUGGGGGGACCAUCCUCCAAGGCUAAAUACUCCUGACUGACCGAUAGUGAACCAGUACCGUGAGGGAAAGGCGAAAAGAACCCCGGCGAGGGGAGUGAAAAAGAACCUGAAACCGUGUACGUACAAGCAGUGGGAGCCUCUUAAUGGGGUGACUGCGUACCUUUUGUAUAAUGGGUCAGCGACUUAUAUUCUGUAGCAAGGUUAACCGAAUAGGGGAGCCGAAGGGAAACCGAGUCUUAACUGGGCGUUAAGUUGCAGGGUAUAGACCCGAAACCCGGUGAUCUAGCCAUGGGCAGGUUGAAGGUUGGGUAACACUAACUGGAGGACCGAACCGACUAAUGUUGAAAAAUUAGCGGAUGACUUGUGGCUGGGGGGGAAAGGCCAAUCAAACCGGGAGAUAGCUGGUUCUCCCCGAAAGCUAUUUAGGUAGCGCCUCGUGAAUUCAUCUCCGGGGGUAGAGCACUGUUUCGGCAAGGGGGUCAUCCCGACUUACCAACCCGAUGCAAACUGCGAAUACCGGAGAAUGUUAUCACGGGAGACACACGGCGGGUGCUAACGUCCGUCGUGAAGAGGGAAACAACCCAGACCGCCAGCUAAGGUCCCAAAGUCAUGGUUAAGUGGGAAACGAUGUGGGAAGGCCCAGACAGCCAGGAUGUUGGCUUAGAAGCAGCCAUCAUUUAAAGAAAGCGUAAUAGCUCACUGGUCGAGUCGGCCUGCGCGGAAGAUGUAACGGGGCUAAACCAUGCACCGAAGCUGCGGCAGCGACACUAUGUGUUGUUGGGUAGGGGAGCGUUCUGUAAGCCUGUGAAGGUGGCCUGUGAGGUUUGCUGGAGGUAUCAGAAGUGCGAAUGCUGACAUAAGUAACGAUAAAGCGGGUGAAAAGCCCGCUCGCCGGAAGACCAAGGGUUCCUGUCCAACGUUAAUCGGGGCAGGGUGAGUCGACCCCUAAGGCGAGGCCGAAAGGCGUAGUCGAUGGGAAACAGGUUAAUAUUCCUGUACUUGGUGUUACUGCGAAGGGGGGACGGAGAAGGCUAUGUUGGCCGGGCGACGGUUGUCCCGGUUUAAGCGUGUAGGCUGGUUUUCCAGGCAAAUCCGGAAAACCAAGGCUGAGGCGUGAUGACGAGGCACUACGGUGCUGAAGUGACAAAUGCCCUGCUUCCAGGAAAAGCCUCUAAGCAUCAGGUAACAUCAAAUCGUACCCCAAACCGACACAGGUGGUCAGGUAGAGAAUACCAAGGCGCUUGAGAGAACUCGGGUGAAGGAACUAGGCAAAAUGGUGCCGUAACUUCGGGAGAAGGCACGCUGAUAUGUAGGUGAAGCGACUUGCUCGUGGAGCUGAAAUCAGUCGAAGAUACCAGCUGGCUGCAACUGUUUAUUAAAAACACAGCACUGUGCAAACACGAAAGUGGACGUAUACGGUGUGACGCCUGCCCGGUGCCGGAAGGUUAAUUGAUGGGGUUAGCGGUAACGCGAAGCUCUUGAUCGAAGCCCCGGUAAACGGCGGCCGUAACUAUAACGGUCCUAAGGUAGCGAAAUUCCUUGUCGGGUAAGUUCCGACCUGCACGAAUGGCGUAAUGAUGGCCAGGCUGUCUCCACCCGAGACUCAGUGAAAUUGAACUCGCUGUGAAGAUGCAGUGUACCCGCGGCAAGACGGAAAGACCCCGUGAACCUUUACUAUAGCUUGACACUGAACAUUGAGCCUUGAUGUGUAGGAUAGGUGGGAGGCUUUGAAGUGUGGACGCCAGUCUGCAUGGAGCCGACCUUGAAAUACCACCCUUUAAUGUUUGAUGUUCUAACGUUGGCCCCUAAUCGGGGUUGCGGACAGUGUCUGGUGGGUAGUUUGACUGGGGCGGUCUCCUCCUAAAGAGUAACGGAGGAGCACGAAGGUUGGCUAAUCCUGGUCGGACAUCAGGAGGUUAGUGCAAUGGCAUAAGCCAGCUUGACUGCGAGCGUGACGGCGCGAGCAGGUGCGAAAGCAGGUCAUAGUGAUCCGGUGGUUCUGAAUGGAAGGGCCAUCGCUCAACGGAUAAAAGGUACUCCGGGGAUAACAGGCUGAUACCGCCCAAGAGUUCAUAUCGACGGCGGUGUUUGGCACCUCGAUGUCGGCUCAUCACAUCCUGGGGCUGAAGUAGGUCCCAAGGGUAUGGCUGUUCGCCAUUUAAAGUGGUACGCGAGCUGGGUUUAGAACGUCGUGAGACAGUUCGGUCCCUAUCUGCCGUGGGCGCUGGAGAACUGAGGGGGGCUGCUCCUAGUACGAGAGGACCGGAGUGGACGCAUCACUGGUGUUCGGGUUGUCAUGCCAAUGGCACUGCCCGGUAGCUAAAUGCGGAAGAGAUAAGUGCUGAAAGCAUCUAAGCACGAAACUUGCCCCGAGAUGAGUUCUCCCUGAGACUUAGAGUCUCCUGAAGGAACGUUGAAGACGACGACGUUGAUAGGCCGGGUGUGUAAGCGCAGCGAUGCGUUGAGCUAACCGGUACUAAUGAACCGUGAGGCUUAACCUU